rnacentral:misc_RNA from 1 species
AUCGUGUUGCCCCUGACCAAGCAUCUCUUUCGGAGAUCUUUUUGUUCAGGGGCGGAGAUUGGCCUCCCGUGCCUUCCGCGUGCGGCUGGCUCAAAAAUGAGUCUCUGGUGAUGGACAACACGACAUCGGUGGUUGUAAGAAGACCUUCUUGCGUUGUUGUGUGAGUCCACCACCGUAGGAAACUCGAGGGCCCUUAGGCACUACAAAAAUGUGUGCACUUCGG